GAUGAACGCUGGCGGCGUGCCUAAUACAUGCAAGUCGAGCGGUAAGGCUUUCACAGGUUAUUUAACCAGAAUAAGUUCCGAUUAGGAAUACUAUCUGCAGCGAUGUUCCCGGCUAGGGAACAGAGUUGAAUAAUGUGUGAAAGUACACGAGCGGCGGACGGCUGAGUAACGCGUAGGAACGUACCCCAAAGUGAGGGAUAAGCCCGGGAAACCGGGUCUAAUACCGCAUAUGAUCCCGGUAUUAAAGCCUUCGGCGCUUUGGGAGCGGCCUGCGUAUGAUUAG
rnacentral:rRNA from 1 species